rnacentral:rRNA from 1 species
GACGAACGCUGGCGGCGUGCUUAACACAUGCAAGUCGAACGGAAAGGCCCUGCUUUUGUGGGGUGCUCGAGUGGCGAACGGGUGAGUAACACGUGAGUAACCUGCCCUUGACUUUGGGAUAACUUCAGGAAACUGGGGCUAAUACCGGAUAGGAGCUCCUGCUGCAUGGGGGGGGUUGGAAAGUUUCGGCGGUUGGGGAUGGACUCGCGGCUUAUCAGCUUGUUGGUGGGGUAGUGGCUUACCAAGGCUUUGACGGGUAGCCGGCCUGGGAGGGUGACCGGCGACAUUGGGACUGAGAUACGGCCCAGACUCCUACGGGACGCAGCAGUGGGGAAUAUUGCACAAUGGGCGGAAGCCUGAUGCAGCAACGCCGCGUGCGGAAUGACGGCCUUCGGGUUGUAAACCGCUUUCGCCUGUGACGAAGCGUGAGUGACGGUAAUGGGUAAAGAAGCACCGGCUAACUACGUG